rnacentral:lncRNA from 1 species
GCUUGUCUUAUAUUUAUGACGAUGAUUUGGACCGUUCUUAAGUGCUUUUGGACUACAAUUCCCAGAAUUUCCCAAGAACUCCAAGGGUUGCAGCCAAUAAAUGGAAUGAAUAAAUGAAAUGAAUGAAUGAAUGAAUGAAUAAAUAAAUCCCAAUAUGCACAUCUAAAUAAAUAAAUAAAUAAAUAAAUAAAUAAAUAAAUAAAUCCCAAAAUUAGAUUUGGCAUUUUGGAUAACUUCUGUAAAGUGCAGAUUAAAAUCCCGAGUGGAUUUAUGGAACCCCUGUAGGAGAUGCUAACCUCCACGGUUCUGAAACUAAUACAAAUAGGUUAAACCAACCACCAAACAGGCAGACAAUAAAGAAAACAGCAGUCUAAGCACACCCUCGGAGUAGCAAAAGACACAGCAGAGUAGCCAAAUUCUGUGCAGAAGUCUACCAAAAGCCUGUAGAAUAUCCUUUCUUUUUCUUUUUCUUCACUGAAGAGUAUUCUAUGAUGAGUUAUGAGCCAGGUGAGUCCACCUUAACAUUGCAAAAGGCAGGGACCAUGACUGAAAAGGUCCCAUCUUUUAUGGCCAUUUUACCAGACUUUAGCUAGUUGCAGGAUGCAGGUCAUAAAUUUAUAUUUUGACUGGAAUUUGUAGAAGGAAGCUCAUGGGACUUAACUUUCCUUUUACCACAUAUCCAGAAAUGGCCAUAGUUGCAUUCACUGCACAAACAUAUCACUGAUAGAAAGAAGGAUAUUACAAUCAUAUUUUUAAAGGUAGCAAGGGAGUAAUCUAUUGUGCAUGAUCCAUAAUACAAAAAUGAGGAGCAGCUGUUUGCAAAUAGAAUCUGAAAGUCAAUUCUGUAUUAGCAGCUGCUGUCAAAUCUGUAGUACCUUAGGGGCUCCAGGAAUAGUUUUCCAACUGCAUUUACAUUCAAGCACCUUGGAGACAAGACACUCUGGCCUUCUUCUGUGCUGUUGCUUCUUUCCCCUAUCUCUCACUCCAGUAUGACCGGCAUUUAACUCCUUGCUGCUGAGAAGUAAGACCUCCCAACACUACCAAUUAGAGAGGCUGCGCCCGUAACAAAAGUUGCCAAUAAUGACAAACAAUACUGACAGCCUGAAAGGGUAGCGGUUCUGUCAAUGCUUGUCCAUUACACUAACUCAGCUAGAGCAUUUCCACUCAUGCUGAGG